rnacentral:rRNA from 1 species
CAGCAGCCGCGGUAAUACGUAGGGCGCAAGCGUUAUCCGGAAUUAUUGGGCGUAAAGAGCUCGUAGGCGGUUUGUCGCGUCUGCCGUGAAAGUCCGGGGCUCAACCCCGGAUCUGCGGUGGGUACGGGCAGACUAGAGUGAUGUAGGGGAGACUGGAAUUCCUGGUGUAGCGGUGAAAUGCGCAGUUAUCAGGAGGAACGCCGAUGGCGAAGGCAGGUCUCUGGGCAUUAACUGACGCUGAGGAGCGAAAGCAUGGGGAGCGAACAGGAUUAGAUACCCCUGUAGUCCCUGUCUCUUAUAC